rnacentral:rRNA from 1 species
CCACUUGGCGACGGACGCGUGCAGGCAUUCUUCUACUCCUGGGGUAACUCAGUGCGGUAGAAACCUUUACUUUGAGAAAAUUAGAGUGUUUCAAGCAAGCAUCGCUUUGAAUACUCCAGCAUGGAAUAAUACAAUAGGACUUUAGGCCUAUUUGUUGGUUCUAAGGCUGAAGUAAUGAUUAAUAGGGACAGUUGGGGGCAUUCGUAUUGGACAGUCAGCGGUGAAAUUCGAUGAUUUGUUCAAGACGAACUACUGCGAAAGCAUUUGCCAAAGAUGUUUUCAUUAAUCAAGAACGAAAGUUAGGGGAUCGAAGACGAUCAGAUACCGUCGUAGUCUUAACCAUAAACUAUGCCAACUAGAGAUUGGAGGAUGUCCAUUAUGUCUCCUUCAGC